rnacentral:rRNA from 1 species
UUGGGUGUAAGGGUGUGCAGGCGGGGCGGUAAGUCAGGGGUGAAAGUCUACGGCUCAACCGUAGGAUGGCCUUUGAUACUGUCGUCCUUGAGUCCCGGAGAGGCCAUUAGAAUUCGUGGUGUAGCGGUGAAAUGCGUAGAUAUCACGAGGAAUACCGGAAGCGUAGGCGGAUGGCUGGACGGCGACUGACGCUCAGGCACGAAAGCGUGGGGAGCGAACAGGAUUAGAUACCCUGGUAGUCCACGCUGUAAACGAUGGAUGCUCGGUGUUCGACUCCGUUAGCGGGUUGAGUGCCCAAGUUAACGCGAUAAGCAUCCCACCUGGGGAGUACGCUCGCAAGAGUGCAACUCAAAGGAAUUGACGGGGGCCCGCACAAGCGGUGGAGCAUGUGGCUUAAUUCGAUGCAACGCGAAGAACCUUACCUGGGCUCGAACGCUGCUGGCUGGGACCUGAAAGGGUUCGUUCUUCGGACCGGCAGUGAGGUGCUGCAUGGCUGUCGUCAGUUCGUGUCGUGAGAUGUUGGGUUAAGUCCCGCAACGAACGCAACCCCUACUCUUAGUUACCAGCACGUGGUGGUGGGGACUCUAAGGGGACUGCCUGCGCAAGCAGUAAGGAAGGUGGGGAUGACGUC